rnacentral:snoRNA from 1 species
UCCCAGUGAUGAACUAUUUAGUAAUCUGAAAAUUUGCAUGAAAUUGCUGAAGAAUGGUGCUCCCUUUUGCAAUGUUAUUGUAGAGGUUGAGGGACCGUGGUUUCAUGCCCAUGUCGAUAACAGGCAUUCUAAGGGAU